AGAGUUUGAUCCUGGCUCAGAUUGAACGCUGGCGGCAUGCCUUACACAUGCAAGUCGAACGGUAACGCGGGGCAACCUGGCGACGAGUGGCGAACGGGUGAGUAAUGCAUCGGAACGUGCCCAGUAGUGGGGGAUAGCCCGGCGAAAGCCGGAUUAAUACCGCAUACGACCUACGGGUGAAAGGGGGGGAUCGCAAGACCUCUCGCUAUCGGAGCGGCCGAUGUCAGAUUAGGUAGUUGGUGGGGUAAAAGCCUACCAAGCCAACGAUCUGUAGCUGGUCUGAGAGGACGACCAGCCACACUGGGACUGAGAGACGGCCCAGACUCCUACGGGAGGCAGCAGUGGGGAAUUUUGGACAAUGGGCGCAAGCCUGAUCCAGCCAUGCCGCGUGCGGGAAGAAGGCCUUCGGGUUGUAAACCGCUUUUGUCAGGGAAGAAAAGCUUCAAGCUAAUAUCUUGGGGUGAUGACGGUACCUAAAGAGAAUAAGCACCGCCUAACUACGUGCCAGCAGCCGCGGUAAUAC
rnacentral:rRNA from 1 species